AUAUAGAGAGAGAGAGAGAGAGAGAGAGAGAGAGAGAGUAAGGCUAUUAUGCUUCUGGAAGUACGGAGCCUUCGGUGCUUCCAGGUCGUUUUUCAUGUUGCGACUUUCGAAUCGUCGAUCGGCUCCGUUAAACUUGAUUUAGAGUAUUUGAUGUAUCUAAAAAAUAAAUUAUGUGAUUUUUCGAUAUUAUUUGCCUAGUAAACGAAGGGACUCAAAAUCAACGGCUGAAAAUAAAAAUUUUACAAAACGCGAUAAUAUAACAUUGAAAUUUUAGAUUAAAGAUAUUGAUCUUAUUUUAUAUAGUAUAAAGAAUUUUCAAUUAAAAUUUCACGUGAUUUGGAUGUUUUUACACCGUUAAACUUCCAAACGGCCUACUACGGUCUUUAAAAUUAUUGAUUUUGAGCCCAUUCGAUCACUAGUCAAAUGAUAUUGAAAAAUCAUAAAAUUUAUUUUCUAGAUACUUCAAAUACUCUAGAUCAAGUUUAACGGAGCCGAUCGACGAUUCGAAAGUCGCAAUAUGAAAAACGAUCUAGAAGCACGGAAGGCUCCGUGCUUCCAGAAACAUAGUAAUCU
rnacentral:lncRNA from 1 species